rnacentral:lncRNA from 1 species
GUUUAUUUGUGGUCAUUCAGGUCACAAUUGUUUGUCGGUAUUUAGCUAACAAGUGCUGCGCAUGACUUUUAAAUGGUUCUGGGGACGUAUUCCGGUGCUGCAUUCGAACGGUUCUGUGACCGUACCGGCUGCCGUAUAUUGAUGAGUUGAGAACAAUUAUCCUCGGCACAACAUGGCGUCAUCCUCGAAACCUAAACGCAAACGCAAACGGCACAGCUCAAAUUCAGAAGAUGAUCCACUGUGGACAAAUAGAUUAGAUGGCGAUUAUUAUUCCGCAUCAAGCGAUAAGAAGAAGAAAUUAACUGCACUGAGUAGUUACAUUCCGCGUGAAACAAGUGAUUGGACGAUGAGCGAACUAGAAAAUCUUCAGAUUAAUUGGAACUGGAUCGACCCAUCCACGAAGAGCAUUGAUGAAUUUUUCGACAUGUUUUCAAAUAUAAAUGCAGGUUUUGCCACCCCUCGAUGCAGAUUUAAUCAAGAUGAUGGAUUAUUUGAAUGCUAACUUGACAUUUGACACAAGUGUCAAAGAACUUGAACAGGAAAAUUAUGUUAAAGUUAGAGAAUAUCUUGUUAAAAACUUUCUUCCCAAAGUUGAUGCUGAUUCAGAUGAACACCAUGAUGAUGAAGAGUUGAUGAAAACUGUGGGUAGUAGUUCCAGGUAAAAUUAAAAUUACCAUCUUUUCAUUCACUACUGCAAUGUCAGUCAGGUACUUCUCAAGUUCUUGUAGCUUUCAUGUCAAUCGGGCCCUUAGUCGAUCCGCCCCAAUAUAAAAAAAUAUUUAUAGGGAAUAAAAAUGAAGAUACGAUGCAGUCUGGUAACUCCGCCCAUCUAAGGCUUUGAUCGUGUAUAUUUCUUCUUUAUUAUAUAAAAAUUGCAUCAAAUUUGAUUUGAAUCUAUUCACUGAAAACUCAAUGUUACGUACAUUUUUUACUAUCUUAUUUCCGCAAUCAUAUAUCUGAAAAGAUUUGAAAAUCAAUCAGACAAAUGGGUCACCUCUGUUUUCACAGAAGUGUGGUUGUCCGGUAAGUCCGUCCAUGCGUAGUAAACAUGUAUGGAUGACAGGUUUAUCAUCAUGAUCAUAUAUUAACGAACUAGAACAUGUAGAACUUAAGGAAAUGAUGUUUUAUCAUGUUUAUAAAUGGACCACUAAGAAAGGAACUUUAGAUGAACAAAAUAAAAAAAUUCAAGCCAAUAUGAUAAAGAAAUUGUUGAAAUAGAAAAAUAAACCAAAAAUAUAAAAAAAACAGAAAAUAAAGAAAAGUAAAAAAUAUGAUUAUAGAUAAAGAUAAGAAUGUCAAUAGCAUGGUUAAAAGUAUUUUCUUUAAAAAAAUGCCCUCAUUCAACAUGUUCGGUAUUCUGAAUUGCAGUUACUUAGACACCAUCAUCCUUGUCAAUGGGUUUAAAGUCUGUGCAGUAUCAUGAGUAUAUAGUGGUUUUAAUAUAUAACCCAAAAUUUUAAUUUCAGAGUCAAUAUAUUUUAUUUUCAGUCUUUAAAAUCGAAAAAAAAACACCAAAAAAACAGAAAGCUUGUGUCAAACUUUUCCAUACAUCAUUGUACAUAUUUAUUAAAGAUAAUGAGUCUUUAAGAUUUUUAGCACACCUGGCCCGAAGGGCCAAGUGAGCUUUUCCCAUCACUUUGCGUCCGGUGUCCGUCGUCCGUCGUCGUCGUCCGUCGUCUUCGUUAACUUUUACAAAAAUCUUCUCCUCUGAAACUACUGGGCCAAAUUAAACUAAACUUGGCCACUAUCAUCAUUGGGGUAUCUAGUUCAAAAAAUGUGUCCGGUGACCCGGCCAACUAACCAAGAUGGCCGCCAUGGCUAAAAAUAGAACAUAGGGGUAAAAUGCAGUUUUUGGCUUAUAACUCAAAAACCAAAGCAUUUAGAGCAAAUCUGACACGUGGUAAAAUUGUUUAUCAGGUCAAGAUCUAUUUGGCCUGAAAUUUUCAGAUGAAUAGGACAACCCGUUGUUGGGUUGCUGCCCCUGAAUUGGGUAAUUUUAAGGAAAUUUUGCUGUUUUUGGUUAUUAUCUUGAAUAUUAUUAUAGAUAGAGAUAAACUGUAAACUACAAUAAUGUUCAGCUAAGUAAGAUUUACAAAAAAGUCAACGUGACCGAAAUGGUCAGUUGACCCCUUUAGGAGUUAUUGCCCUUUUUAGUCAAUUUUUAACCAUUUUUCGUAAGUCUUAGUUAUCUUUUACAAAAAUCUUCUCCUCUGAAACUACUGGGACAAAUUAAUCCAAACUUGGUCAUAAUCAUCAUUGGGGUAUCUAGUUUAAAAAAUGUGUCCGGUGACCCGGCCAACCAACCAAGAUGGCCGCCAUGGCUAAAAAUAGAACAUAGGGGUAAAAUGCAGUUUUUGGCUUAUAACUCAAAAACCAAAGCAUUUAGAACAAAUCUGACAGGAAGUAAAAUUGUUGAUCAGGUCACGAUUUAUCUGCCCUGGAAUUUUCAGAUGAAUCGGAUAAUCGGUUGUUAGGUUGCUGCUACUGAAUUAGUAAUUUUGAGGAAAUUUUGCUGUUUUUUUUGUUAUCUUGAAUAUUAUUAUAGAUAGAGAUAAACUGUAAACAGCAAUAAUGUACAGCAAAGUAAGAACUAAAAAUAAGUCACUAUGACCAAAAUAGUCAAUUGACCACCUAAGGAGUUAUUACUCUUCAUAGUCAAUUUUUAACAAUUUUCUAAAAAUUUGAAGAUUUUCAAUAACAUUUUCCACAGAAAGUACUGUUAUAGAUCGAGAUAAUUGUAAGCAGCAAGAAUGUUUAGUAAAGUAAGAUCUACAAACACAUCACCAUCACCAAAACACAAUUUUGUCAUGAAUCCAUCUGUGUCCAUUGUGUAAUAUUCACAUAGGCCAAGGUGAGCGACACAGGCUCUUUAGAGCCUCUAGUUUUUAUUAUUUUGCCUUAUAUUAAAUGGCAUUGUCUCCCUUUUUAGCUCACCGGAGCCCAAAGGGCCCCAUGUGAGCUUAUGCCAUCACUUGGCGUCCUUCGUCGUCUGUUGUCAUAAACUAUUUCAAAAAUCUUCUUCUCUGAAACUCCGAAGUUUUGAUCCAUCGUCAAACAUGGCCACCAUGGCUACAAAUAGAACAUAGGGGUCAAAUGCAGUUUUUAGCUUAUAUCUUAAAAACUAAAGCUUUUAGAGCAAAUCUGACAUGGGGUUAAAUUGUUCAAUUUGUCAAGAUCUAUCAGCCAUGAAAUUAUCAGACGAAUCGAGCAACCCAUUGUUGGGUUUCUGCCACCAAAUUGGUAGUUUUAACAAAAUUUUGCAGUUUUUAGCUCACCUGGCCCAAAGGGCCAAGUGAGUUUUUCCCAUCACUUGGUGUCCUGCGUCCGUCGUCUGUCGUCCGUCGUCGUCGUCGUCCGUCGUUAACUUUUACAAAAAUCUUCUCCUCUGAAACUACUGGGCCAAAUAAAAUCAAACUUGGCCACAAUCAUCAUUGGGGUAUCUAGUUUAAAAUUUGUGUCCGGUGACCCGACCAAUUAACCAAAAUGGCCGCCAUGGCUAAAAAUAGAACAUAGGGGUAAAAUGCAGUUUUUGGCUGAUAAAUCAAAAACCGAAGCAUUUAGAGCAAAUCUGACAUGGGGUAAAUUUGUUUAUCAGGUUAAGAUCUACCUGCCCUGAAAUUUUCAGAUGAAUUGGACAACUGGUUGUUGGGUUGCUGCCACUGAAUUGAUAAUUUUAAGGAAAUUUUGCUGUUUUUGGUUAUUAUCUUGAAUAUUAUUAUAGAUAGAGAUAAACUGUAAACUGCAAAAAUGUUCAGCAAAGUAAGAUUUACAAAUAAGUCAACUGGACCAAAAUGGUCAGUUGAUCCCUUUAGAAGUUAUUGCCCUUUAAAGUCAAUUUUUAACCAUUUUUCGUAAAUCUAUGUAAUCUUUUACAAAAAUCUUCUCCUCUGAAACUGCUGGGCCAAAUUAAAUGAAACUUAGCCACAAUCAUCAUUGGGGUAUCUAGAUUAAAAAUUGUGUCCGGUGACCCGACCAAUCAACCAAAAUGGCCGCCAUGGCUAAAAAUAGAACAUAGGGGUAAAAUGCAGUUUUUGGCUCAUAACUCAAAAACCAAAGCAUUUAGAGCAAUUCUGAUAGGGGUUGAUAUUGUUUAUCAGGUCAAGAACUAUCUGCUCUUAAAUUUUCAGAUGAAUUGGACAACUGGUUAGUAGGUUGCCCCUGAAUUGGUAAUUUUAAGGAAAUUUUGGCUUUUUUGUUAUUAUCUUGAAUAUUAUUAUAGAUAGAGAUAAACUGUAAACAGCAAUAAUUUUCAACAAAGUAAGACCUAAAAAUAAGUCAACAUGACCAAAAUGGUCAAUUGACCCCCUAAGGAGUUAUUGCCCUUUAUGGUAAAUUUUAACAAUUUUCAUAAAAUUUGUAAGUUUUUACUUACAUUUUCCACUGAAACUACUGGGCCAAACCUAAUUAAUAGGGAUAAUUGUACGCAGCAAGAUUGUUCAGUAAAGUAAGAUCUACAAAACAUCACCAUCACCAAAACUCAAUUUUGUCAUGAAUUCAUCUGUGUCCUCUGUUGAAUAUUCACAUAGACGAAGGUGAGCGACACAGGCUCUUUAGAGCCUCUAGUUUGUUAUUAUCUUGAAUAUUAUUAUAGAUAUAUAUAAGAAGAAGUCUUAAAAGCUGUACAUGUAUUUCAUGCUUAUCUUUGAAAAGCAGCAGGAAGAGUUGAUAUUCCUGCUGAGGUCCUGACAAACGUUAUUAGAACUUCUAAUAAAAGAUCCAACUAUAAAGACCUUGAAUCAGGGCCGUAACUACAAUGAGGCAGACGAGGCAAUUGCUGGCAAAAAAAAAUAAUAAGGGAAAAAAAGAAAAUGGAGAAAGUUAGGCAUGCAUGCAGAGGGUAGAACACAUCCUUGCAUUUUAACAUCAAGAAUUAAGUAAUGCAUACUUCGAAUAGUAAUUUAUGUUGACGUGCAGCUUCUGUACUUUUAUUUCAACGUAAGGUAUCAAUAUCUCUGUAUCUGAUUACCAUCGCCAGUAAACCGGCAUUUGGUUCUGUAAUUAUUUAUUUCCCGUGAAAAUGAAUUAUUGAUAAUGGAUAUUUCCAACAUUAUCAGUCAUGUUGUCAGUUCGCAAAGUAAAUCAAAAUUAAAAUAGUUUGAAUUCUUCACCUUGCUCAGUUAAUAUUAUUAAAGAAGCAUUCACAGAUCACACAUGAAUACCUAAACACCCCACAAUUUGUAUGUAGUUCUCUUUCAAAUAAAAUGAAGAUUUGAGGCAUUUUCAAAUGUUUUGCUGCAAACCUGGCUGCUAUUCGAAAACAAAACAUUUAUUUUGGAUGGAUGGAGGAUUUGUUUGGUUUAACGGCAAGUACAUGAAGUAGGCUUUCUUUUAGCUAUAUAUAGAGAGCAAGUUACAAAAUGUAUGUGAUUAUUCCAUUCAAAUGUUAAACGGACAGGACAAGACCUUGGCAGAAUGACAAUUUGAUUGCUUGAUACUUUGAAUUUCCAUGGAGUAUUGUGGGAAUACUUUGGGCUUGUGAAAUAAAGACGGUCACACAAUUAACCAUGGUAAAGGUGACUAGAGAGUAUUUAAUUUGUAUCAUUAUUGAUUCGGGUGUAAUAAAAUUGAGAAUGGAAAUGUGGAAUGUGUCAAAGAGACAACAACCCGACCGAAGAGCAGAAAACAGCCGAAGGCCACCAAUGGGUCUUCAGUACAGCGAGAAAAUCCCGAAUCCGGAGGCGUGCUUCAGCUGGCCCCUAAACAAUAAUGUGUACUACAUGUAGUUCAGUGAUAAUGGACGUCAUACUAUAAAACUCUGAAAUAUAUAAAUGAACUAAAAAUUAAACAUGUUUUUUGAUAUCUCAACCCUCCCCUAUACCUCUAGCCAAUGUACAUUGUAAGAAAAACAAACACACAGCAAUACGCACAUGCAUUUAUCAUGUUUAUAGAAUUAGCAAAAAAAAUUAAUUAUUCAAUUCAAAGAAAGUAGUCAGACGAUGGGAUAAUAGUGGCACAAGAAAGGUCAAACUAGCAUUCACAGACAGUGACUAGGUUCCACUCUUUGCGCUUUAUUAAAGUGUUAUUGAAAAUGUGUGUUAUUUUUAAUAAAACGUUGACCACACACACUUGUCCCGCAUUUUCUACUAUCAGACAUAUAACCUACUGUAAAUUUUAUAUAAUUGAUGGUACAAAAUUCGAGGCAAAUAUCUGUCAACCGGCUCUGAUAGACUAUUACAGUUCUUUAUAUGGUAAAUAUGAAACAAAACGAUAAAUAUGAUACAAACAACGGAGGUAACAAGAUAUAUUUCGAACCAUAAAUUAAUGUUACAAUUUUCGGCCAGGGGGCCUCAAUCGGCGGCUCCCGUUAAACCCCUGCCUCGUCUGUUCCCAAGGCCUAGUUACGGCCCUGUGAAUUGUUUAUUUAGAGCUAAUUUCCUAAUGCAUGUAGAGCAAGACUUUCAGGUUAGCUUACUUACUUGCUUUGUUUGUAUAUUGUACAAUUUUAUUGGGAUAACGUCCAAUUAAAUGUAAAUAUAAUAUAUACAGGUUUAACUAUGCCUAUAUAUAUUGUUUGAAGAUGUCAAAGCUUGAGUUAAAAGUUUAUACAUUGUUAUACAAACAAAGCAAGCAAGCCACCAAAGUUUUACUCUACAAGAAUUAGGAAAUUAGCUCUUAGUAAAUUUUAAUAGCUAUGAUUUUAAUUGAAUUAAGUGAUUACGACCAGCCUUACUUUGGUUCACGAUCAUCAGACAAUUGUUGAAUAAACAAACCAAUUACAAAUGUAUAGACUAAUGAUCAUUAUGGUAAUUACAUUAUUAUGUGUUCCAGUGGAUUGUAAAUAUCUAUUUAUCUCUUCUAUGUGUCGGAAUUGAAUAUAAACUUUUCCCAAUUGUAUUCUGAGUUAUCAUCAUGGUUAUCAUGGAAAAUAACUUCAUAUUCAUAUACUGAUAUCGAUGCUGCUUAACAAAUUGUACAAAUCACACUGAUUACUCAUUUUUGUAUCGAUUUAAAGUAAUUCAUCUGAAUGUUUCUCUAAACAUGCUAAAGGUAAUAUUAGGCAUCCUUCACUUACCUGCUGUCACUAUUCAUCGAUACUUUUUACAAAUUCCAUUUAUACUGAUUCAGAUAUGUCACCAAAUCCGCCGAAGUUAAUUAUUCAUUAUUAUUUUAUUAUAGGGCCGGAUCAACUAGGGGUGGAUAAUAAUAACUUGUACAAGUAGUACCCCUGACUGAAUGUGUCAAGUUUGCAGCAUUCUAGACACUUCAGCACCGAGACAAAUCGUCACCAGCAUGGUGACAGACAUUAUGUUCUCAACAACUUUGCUUUAUAUUUUAAAAAUCACAUUUUUCUAAUACUGGAUGUUGACUUGACAAUGGUAAAACAUGGACCAGAGACGGAUAUGUUAAAUCUGUGUACGUUUUCAAAGCACGAUUGCUUUUAAGAAGUUCUUCACAGUUAUUUCUUCAGGAAAAUACUCUAAAUGAAUGUAAGAUAAAGGUAUCAGUGAUAAUUUUAGCAUUUUGGAAAAUUUGUAUGCAUAAUUAAACCUCACAGCUGUAAAACUGUCAGACAACUUCUUAUGGGAGUUAUUGCCCUUACACAUGGAAAUGACAAAUGUUACCAUUUUUUUUCCAUUUUUAUACGACCGCAAACAAAUUUUUGUGGUCGUAUAUUGGUAUGAAGUUGGCGUCGUCGUGUCGUCGUCGUCAGAAGACACAUUGGUUUUCGCACUCUAACUUUAAUUUAAGUGAAUAGAUCUCUAUGAAAUUUUACCAUAAGGUUCAAUACCACAACAGAAAGGUUGGGAUUGAUUUUGGGGAUAAUGGUACCAACAGUUAAGGAAUUAGGGGUCAAAAAGGGGACAAAAAAAAACUUCCAGACAUAACUUGUGUGUUAGUGUAUGGAUCUCUCUGACAUUGUACCACAAGGUUCCAUAUCACAAAGGGAAUGCUGGGAUUGAUUAUGGGGGUAAUUGCCUCAAAAUUUUAGGAAUUAGGGGCCAAAAAAGGGGCAAAAACAAGCAUUUUUCUAGUUUCAUGACAAUAACUUGUGUGUAAGUGUAUGGAUCUUUCUGAAAUUGUACUACAAGGUUCCAUAUCACAACACUACAAGGUUCCAUAUCACAACACUACAAGGUUCCAUAUCACAAAGGGAGAGCUGAAAAUGAGUUUGGGGGUAAUUGCCCACAACGUUUAGGAAUAAGGGGCCAAAAAUAAGAAUUUUUCUAGUUUCCAGACAAUAACUUGUGUUCAAGUGUAUGGAUCUCUCUGAAAUUGUACUGCAAUGUACCAUACCACAAAGGGAAGGCUGGGAUUGAUUAUGGGGUAAUUGCCUAAACAUAUUAGGAAUUAGGGGCCAAAAAGGGGCAAAAAACAAGCAUUUUUCUAGUUUUAGGACAAUUACUUGUGCGUAAGUGUAUGGAUCUUUAUGAAAUUGUACUACAAGGUUCCAUAUCACAAAGGGAAAGCUUGGUUUGAGUUUGGGGGUAAUUGCCCUGAACGUUUAGGAAUUUUGGGCCAAAAAGGGGCCUAAAAACAAGCAUUUUUCUACUUUCAAGACAAUAACUUGUGUUCAAGUGUAUAUAUGGAUCUCUCUGAAAUUGUACUGCAAGGUACCAUACCACAAAGGGAAGGCUGAGAUUGAGUUUGGGGGUGAUGAAUCAUAAGGGGGUUCAAAAAAUUUGGGGGAGGGAUUUUUUUUUCCUUUUUUUCCAUUUUUUUUCUUUAAAAUUUUCCAUUUUAAAUUGGUUAUUUCUGAUUUAUAUAUAAAAGCAAAUAAUAAUGAUAUGGUUUGAAUAGGCAAAUUAAAAAUAUUUUUAAGUUCUUAGACCACAUUCAUUCUGUGUCAGAAACCUAUGCUGUGUCAAAUAUUUAAUCACAAUCCAAAUUCAGUGCUGUAUCAAGCUUAUAAUGAAUGUUGUGUCCAUACUUGCCCCAACUGUUCAGGGUUCGACCUCUGUGGUCGUAUCAAGCUGCACCCAGCGGAGCAUUUUAUUUACAUUUAUAAGUUUUCAUUAUUUACCGGCCCUCAUUAAAAUUCAAAUAUCUGUAAUUGGGAGAUAUCUGUAUUGUAUUUUAAGCUUGGCCUUCGUGAAACGUAGAUUUGACUGUCACAAAUUGAGUUUACCUAGCAACGAAAUACAAUACAGAUAUCUCCAUUCUAAUGCAACAUAUUAAAAUAAAUUCCAUUUGAUAAAUAUUUUGGCUUACUUCCCAAAGUUGGUUUCCGUCCUCUAACUUUAGUUUGCCUCAACCAAAUGUUAUAAAACUUCUACAAAAGGCUUAUUACCACAAAACACAGAUCAAGUUUAAAUUUCAGUGGCGUCACUUAAACCGUUCUAGAGUUAUGCCCCUUUACAAAUGGAAAAAUUGCUGAAUUUUUCAUUCCCGCUCUCUAGUUUAGGAGGGGCCUCAGUGGCCGAGUGGUCUAAGUAGUUACUACUGUAAUCACUAGCCAGUCAACACUGAGGUUGUGAGUUCGAACCCCGCUUGUGCGGGUGCACUGGACUCCAAUCUAAAUUGACUAGGAUUGUCAGUUUUCCUAUCACAGGUCGGUGGUUUUCUCCUGGCACUCCGGCUCCCUCCACCAAUAAAAAUUGGCCCAAAAGCGGUGCUUAAAAGUGGCGUUAAAACACCAAAAAUCAAAUCAAAUCUAGUUUAGGUUGCCUCAACCAAAUGUUAUGAAACUUAUUCACAAUGCUUAUUACCACAAAACACAGAUCAAGUUUGAGUUUUGGUAGUGUCACUUUUACUGUUCUAGAGUUAUGCCCCUUUACAAAUGGAAAAAAUACUAGUUUUCAUUUCCAUUCCCUAACUAAAGUUAGCCUCAACCAAAUGUUAUGACUUAAGCUUACCACAACUGUUCUAAAGUUAUGCCCCUUACAAACAAGGAAUUGCAAUUGUUUGAAUUUUAUUGUUUGCCAACGAAUUUUAUAAGUAACACUUUAUACAGUACAAUACAUUAAAACGAAUAAUUGUUUCAGAUUCAAGUUUUACAAGUUUGCUGUUCAGUUUGCGUCACAAACUUUUAACAAAUGUCUUCAUAUUCAAUCAAUCAAGUUAGUGAGUAGCGUCACUUUUACUGUUCUUCAGUUAUGUCCCUUUCAAGGUUACCGCUGGCGUUCACCAUUUUCGCAUUUUGCAAAAAAAAUAAAAAUUGUGGCGAUUAAAAUUCAUCAUUUGCGAAAGAAUUUGGCGAAAGAAAUAUAUAUAAUGAUUUGAUUUCAUUUCAUCAUUAUUUAUUUAUUUUUUUCGUUUUGGUUUUGGCGACGCACGUGUUUCAAGCAUUUUAUUUUUACUCAACAACUUUUUCUUUUUCAUUUACGAUGGUCCGGAAAAGAAAACUGUCGUUAUGAAGAAAUAUAUUCAAACAGGUUGGGAACAAACUCCUCAAAUAAGUAACCCUCAAUGUAAUGAACUAUCCCUUAAAUCAGGGAUCAAUUUCAAGUGAUAAAAAAAAAAUGUUUUGUUGUAAAAACCACUUCUUUAGUACAAAAGGGCACAUAUUCAUAUCAUUUGAAGAAACUUUUCCCAAAGAACUAUACAACUAUCUGGUAUUAUAUGGUCAAAACAUGUCCAAGAAUUUUGUAAUAUUCCUGGACUUAUACAUCAUGUACAUGUAUCUUCUUUAUUUUAAAAAAUAAGUGGACCCCUCUUUAAGAAAAGUUGUUCCAAAUAUAAUGAAUUUUUCCCCUUUUAAGUUAAAAAAAAGCUAAAUUUUUCUUUUUACUUUUCUACAACAGCAAAAUGAUCCCUUGUCUGAGGGACAGUCCCUUAUUUAAGGGAUAUCCCACAUUUGGAGGGUUGUUCCAAACCUGUUGAAAAGUAAGAAAAGUCUCUGCCUUUAGUCUUUAUCCUUCAACUGGAAGGGAAAUGUAUAUCCGAUAAACUUUUGAAGAUGAAUCUUGUGUCCCAGAAGUCAAAAUUAUGAUGUCUAUAUUGCUAUUUUUAUAGUAUCUUUUAAAAAGUAAAUGGGGGGGGGGGGGGGGGUUAGAAAGAAGGAACAUUUUAAACGAAAAAUAUAUUUAUGUAAGUUGUCGAAAAAAAUAAUUGACUCGGGGAAACCCUGCCCUUUAUAACUUUAUAUGAUAUGCUAGCGGGGGCAUCAUCUGUGUCCCAUAGACAUAUUCCCCAUUUAUUUGAUUUUGCAUAUAUAUAUAUGUACAGGUACGACUCAAAUAGACACCAAGUCUGACUUAAUAAUAGAUUAUAGAACAAGUUUCCAAAUCGACAGCAGAUUCUAUGCACCUCUAAGCAGUGUCCAGUUCUUAUAUAAAUAAUUAGGAUUUUUUUUUCAGAGUUUUGAUACAUCAUAUUGAAGCUGGAAGACAUGACUUUCAAAAUGACCUAAAAGAAAUACUUUAUGAUUUGUUGUUGACUUCUAGAACAGUGGAAGAAAUGAGGUUCACAAAAUGCUGGAAGA